UCCAGCCGCCAAGCCGGCCGACUCGGCGCGUCACGGGCCCCGCCCAGGCCCCGCCCCGGGCCCGCCUCCGGGACAGCCCUCCCCGGGCCUGUCCCCCACCCGCUCCCCGACUACGGUUGCCCUGUGCCAGCCGCGCUUGUUUGUGACUAGAGGAGGGGCUGGAGAACAGACGGAAUUUUUAGACUGUGGUCGAUUUGCAUAUGUUUUGCCUAAAGUCCCAUCGCAAACUUGAAAACCUGGAUCCCAACUCUGGAAAUGUAAAUGAAAUCAGCACAGAUUACGGCCGCGUUUUGGGCUGGUCACCUCUUGAACAGAAUAACAAACUCAGGAACAAGUAUGUGUAUUAAACCGUGAUCUGGUUCUAGCUUCACCUGGUUCCUUUCCUUAUUACCCUUGAUUCUGCUGUUUGACCCAGGUCAGGAGACUCAAGCCAUUGAGGACUGGGAGAAAUCCAGUUUGAACUCAAACAUUUCCCUAACCCCUGUGUCCCCAAAGCCCUGUGUCCUCUCAAUGGGGGGGGGGGGGGAUGCACAAUGAAGAAAUGCUGGAUCUUAUCUGAUUGAACCCUGAAAAUGCUGUAUUUUGCUUUGUUGGAUGCUUUCGUCGACUUCUUUUGCAAGCUGCUUACUCAAAUAGGGUGUUCUGAAAGUCUGCCUUCAGAAUUAAUCACAUGCUCAUGUAACAACCAUCUAAGUAUAUCCCCCAAAAGACAGACUAAAUUCUAGGUCUCCAAGCUCACUUUUUCUUUUUACAAGAAACUACACUUAUGCAGGAGGGAUGGACACCACCUGAAAAACUUUUUAGUUAUCCAAAGGAUCCUGUUGAAACUGUACAGUGGUUGAAAUGAGUUCACAGUGUUUUCAGGAAAGUCUAGACCAAGAGAGUCUUUUCAGCCCUUGGGCUCCUGCAGAAACUUCCAGGGGUUCCCCAAGGUGACGAUGGCCACUCUGCAGAGCCUGUGGGUGGGAGGCUGGCAUGGCAGAACCAGGUAGAAGCUUUGGCAGCA